AGCGAACGCUGGCGGCAGGCCUAACACAUGCAAGUCGAACGAAGUCUUCGGACUUAGUGGCGGACGGGUGAGUAACACGUGGGAACGUGCCUUUAGGUUCGGAAUAACUCAGGGAAACUUGUGCUAAUACCGAAUGUGCCCUUCGGGGGAAAGAUUUAUCGUCUUUAGAGCGGCCCGCGUCUGAUUAGCUAGUUGGUGAGGUAAAGGCUCACCAAGGCUACGAUCAGUAGCUGGUCUGAGAGGAUGACCAGCCACAUUGGGACUGAGACACGGCCCAAACUCCUACGGGAGGCAGCAGUGGGGAAUCUUGCGCAAUGGGCGAAAGCCUGACGCAGCCAUGCCGCGUGGAUGAUGAAGGUCUUAGGAUUGUAAAAUCCUUUCACCGGUGAAGAUAAUGACUGUAGCCGGAGAAGAAGCCCCGGCUAACUUCGUCCCAGCCGCAGCCGUAACAC
rnacentral:rRNA from 1 species